UCGCCAUCACAAGCGCCAUGCGCCUGCCGGACUCCGGCAGGACAACGAGGAGGAACGUGAUCGAGGAUUCGGCGGAUGCGUUCCCGUGCAGUCUCUGUGCGCGUAACGAAGUCAGAAAUAUGCGGGCGACCGCAAAACAAAGGGGCUUUGAACAGAGGAU
rnacentral:ncRNA from 2 species